GACGAACGCUGGCGGCGUGCUUAACACAUGCAAGUCGAACGGAAAGGCCCUGCUUUUGUGGGGUGCUCGAGUGGCGAACGGGUGAGUAACACGUGAGUAACCUGCCCUUGACUUUGGGAUAACUUCAGGAAACUGGGGCUAAUACCGGAUAGGAGCUCCUGCUGCAUGGUGGGGGUUGGAAAGUUUCGGCGGUUGGGGAUGGACUCGCGGCUUAUCAGCUUGUUGGUGGGGUAGUGGCUUACCAAGGCUUUGACGGGUAGCCGGCCUGAGAGGGUGACCAGCCACAUUGGGACUGAGAUACGGCCCAGACUCCUACGGGAGGCAGCAGUGGGGAAUAUUGCACAAUGGGCGGAAGCCUGAUGCAGCAACGCCGCGUGCGGGAGGACGGCCUUCGGGUGGUAAACCGCUUUCGCCUGUGACGAAGCGUGAGUGACGGUAAUGGGUAAAGAAGCACCGGCUAACUACGU
rnacentral:rRNA from 1 species